UCCUACGGGAGGCAGCAGUGGGGAAUAUUGCACAAUGGGCGCAAGCCUGAUGCAGCAACGCCGCGUGAGGGACGAAGGCCUUCGGGUUGUAAACCUCUUUUAGUAGGGAAGAAGCGACUGGGUUUUCCUGGGAGUGACGGUACCUGCAGAAAAAGCACCGGCUAACUACGUGCCAGCAGCCGCGGUAAUACGUAGGGUGCAAGCGUUGCCCGGAAUUAUUGGGCGUAAAGAGCUCGUAGGCGGUUUGUCGCGUCUGCUGUGAAAACCCGAGGCUCAACCUCGGGCCUGCAGUGGGUACGGGCAGACUAGAGUGCGGUAGGGGAGAUUGGAAUUCCUGGUGUAGCGGUGGAAUGCGCAGAUAUCAGGAGGAACACCAAUGGCGAAGGCAGAUCUCUGGGCCGUAACUGACGCUGAGGAGCGAAAGCAUGGGGAGCGAACAGGAUUAGAUACCCUGGUAGUCCAUGCCGUAAACGUUGGGAACUAGAUGUGGGGACCAUUCCACGGUCUCCGUGUCGCAGCUAACGCAUUAAGUUCCCCGCCUGGGGAGUACGGCCGCAAGGCUAAAACUCAAAGGAAUUGACGGGGGCCCGCACAAGCGGCGGAGCAUGCGGAUUAAUUCGAUGCAACGCGAAGAACCUUACCAAGGCUUGACAUAUACCGGAAACGGCUGGAAACAGUCGCCCCGCAAGGUCGGUAUACAGGUGGUGCAUGGUUGUCGUCAGCUCGUGUCGUGAGAUGUUGGGUUAAGUCCCGCAACGAGCGCAACCCUCGUCCUAUGUUGCCAGCACGUAAUGGUGGGAACUCAUGGGAUACUGCCGGGGUCAACUCGGAGGAAGGUGGGGAUGACGUCAAAUCAUCAUGCCCCUUAUGUCUUGGGCUUCACGCAUGCUACAAUGGCCGGUACAAAGGGCUGCGAUACCGCAAGGUGGAGCGAAUCCCAAAAAGCCGGUCUCAGUUCGGAUUGAGGUCUGCAACUCGACCUCAUGAAGUCGGAGUCGCUAGUAAUCGCAGAUCAGCAACGCUGCGGUGAAUACGUUCCCGGGCCUUGUACACACCGCC
rnacentral:rRNA from 1 species